rfam:Picea glauca, whole genome shotgun sequence.
ACAGUGGCUUUAGUCAAAGCCACCUUGAUAUAUUCAAAGGAAUUAU